rnacentral:tRNA from 1 species
GAAUACGAAGCGAUAAAUUGCCAUUAGUUUCGACCUAAUUUUAGGUGCUUAAUGCAUCCUUAUUCU